GACCUCGAUAUUUACCGCGUGCUGGCGCAUGCACUCACCUCCUACUGACGUGCUCGUUCCCAUACAGCAUGUGUUCCUGUUUUGUUGCGUCAGGCGCAUUCGGUAGUGGGUUGUGGGCUUGUGGACAGUAAAAUGGAAGAUGAUGAUGUUGCAGAUAGUUGGGAAGACGCGGCUGAUAAUGGGGAAAUAGACAGAAGACUAGAAGCAAAGCUGAAGAUUGUACAAAA